rnacentral:ribozyme from 1 species
UGUCCAGUAACUCCUAUCCCUACCUCCCCGUGGUACCGCCUGGGAUACCAGUAACCUUAGGGAAGAUCGGGUAACCGACCCCGAUAGGACCUUAGUCGUAUGCUGACAGGGAAGG